UAAAGACUUAGUUGAGUUGAGUUGGUAAUAAAAAUUUUUUAAAUGGAAAUUUAAAAAUAUAAAUUUCCAAAUUUGAAAAAUUCAUACCAACCUUUGGAAACCUAAAUUUCCUUUUAUUGUGAAGAGACACAUAUCAAGGGAAAACAUGCAUGUUUUCAUUCUUUAGCACUUUGUUGCUACAUUCAAAUACCAGUAACAACAUUCUUUUUUUUUUUAAAGUUACUCUCAUUUUCUUUCACAUAUAAAAGGUUCUUGCAUCAACUUUUGAAUGCAGGACUAGUUGGCUUCGAAUAAAUAAUUUUCCAUUUAGUUGCUGUGAUCAAAUCCUAGUAGAUUUUUUUUAAUAAAG
rnacentral:misc_RNA from 1 species